CCUACGGGGGGCUGCAGUAAGGAAUAUUGGUCAAUGGACGAAAGUCUGAACCAGCCAUCCCGCGUGCAGGAUGAAAGCCCUAUGGGUUGUAAACUGCUUUUAGCAGGGAAGAAAAGCUUCCAUUUAUGGUGGUCUGACGGUAUCUGCAGAAUAAGCACCGGCUAACUCCGUGCCAGCAGCCGCGGUAAUACGGAGGGUGCGAGCGUUAUCCGGAAUUACUGGGGUGUAAGGGUGCGUUGAAGGAGGAUUAGAAAGCUUGUCGCGUAACGAUAAUAUUGCCAAUGAUACUGGUACUCUUGAAUUGGGUUGAGGUUAGCGGAAUGUGACAUGUAGCGGUGAAAUGCAUAGAUAUGUCAUGGAACACCAAUUGCGAAGGCAGCUAACUGGGCCUUGAUUGACGCUGAGGCACGAAAGCGUGGGUAGCGAACAGGAUUAGAUACCCCGGUAGUC
rnacentral:rRNA from 1 species